CAGAGGACGACGUGGUUUGGAGGCCUGAGGGGGUGUGGAGGUUCACCUCAGACAACAAAGGACAAAAAAGCUCAAAGACAUCAUUGGUCAUUGAAUGAGUGGCAAGACAGAGGAGAGCUUCCCUGCUGGCUGGAAUAGGGUGAAUCAACCAAUAAGUAGGCUCUCUGGUCAGCGUGGAAAAGUGGAAAGAACUUUGGUUUAAAAUGGGAGCGGUGAGGAACAGAGAGCUUAAGUAAAUUGUCCGAGUCACGUGAGUAAUAAAUGACAGCAAGAAGAUCCAAACCCAGGCUGUGGGCUCUAUCCCCAAGAUCCUGUGAUUGGAGGUGCUUCCUCAUGUACUUAAUUUAACAGGUAC